rnacentral:rRNA from 1 species
UACGUAGGGGGCGAGCGUUGUCCGAAGUUACUGGGCGUAAAGCGCGCGUAGGCGGCUUUGCAAGUCGAGUGUGAAAUCCCCAGGCUUAACCUGGGAACUGCAUUCGAGACUGCAUAGCUAGAGUAUGGGAGAGGGAAGUGGAAUUUCAGGUGUAGCGGUGAAAUGCGUAGAUAUCUGAAGGAACAUCAGUGGCGAAAGCGACUUCCUGGACCAAUACUGACGCUCAUGUGCGAAAGCGUGGGGAGCAAACAGG